rnacentral:sRNA from 1 species
GCUGAGAGAAUGAGUCACAGGUCCUAGAGGAGAUCAGGCAAUUCACAGAGGCAUAAUUAAACGCCAGCACGAAUAGCACACAAAUGAACCAGGGCCCGGAAGCAGCAUGCAGUUAGUCCAGAGAAUACGGUAGUGUGGGAGUCAGUGGAUCCACGGCCUCCACAGAUAUCUUUGGGAAGUUCUCAGAGCCACAAUUGUCUAUGUGUGAUUACCUUCUGCUGCUGCAAUUGCCAGGUCAGUAAGCAAAAGGAGGCUGAUUUAAAGCCCCAUCUAUUCUACAGCCCUCAGAGGCAGGGCCUCUCUCGGGGCUGAUUCAAAAGGAGCAUUCUUGUUACAGCUUCCCCCCUCCCCACUUUUCCAUUUCUGUCUAUUCCAUGAGCAGGUGGCCACUACCUGUGGCUGAUAAUUACAGGCUUUAUGUAUGCUGACUAUGAAAGGAUCUUGUCUGUGGUCAGGGCUGGCAGAGAAGUAUGAGACAUAUGUUUGACCCCAUAAAAGGAGGGAAAUUCUCCUUUUGUUAUGGGCCUUAGGGUUUUCAAGGCUACUACCCAUGGAAAGUGCUUGCCAUGUUCAAGGGCUAAAGGCCACACACACAAUCUUUUAAGAGCCUGUCAGCACAAAGUCCAUUCACUGAAAGCCUCGGCUGUCCCCUGCCAUUGGCAGGUAGAGUCCUAUUAUGUGGCCCCUCUUUGUAAAAGGCAAAAUUUCUAUAGCGGCCAUCGCUGAAAAUGUUUAAUACCUUUAAAUUUCAAUAAUAUAACGAUAAAGAAAAAUGCUUCUCUGUGUGGACCUAGUGGAUAGAAACAGGUUUUGAUCUCUGGGGAGACAUGUUCUUUUGAGUUCUGCAGUAAGGUAUCUCUUCUGACAGUACCCAAGUGAGUGGCACAAAAGUUCUGGACAGGAAGGUUGCAAAAAACCCCUCUGAAGCUACAAAAAUCAUCAAAACAGCGAAAAGGCCUCGACUAGGGUAAUUAUGUCUCCCCUCACCUCCUUCCCAUUUCAAAGCCACUGGUAACUGCCUAGCCAGUGUUUACCUAAUUAUUGAAUAAUGUUGCAUAAUUAUAUUAGUAUUAUUAGCAUUUUAUUUAAUGGUGGGAUGCUAAAUUUUCACGGGGUGUGUUUCCACUGUGAACAGUAAUUCACUUUUUCUGGUUUCUAAAAUGAUUGUUUGAUAACAUGCUGACAAUUGUGUGUUCUUUGUACAACCAGAAGACUGUUGGGAGAUGAAAAACAGAAUUGUGACACCGUAGAAUCAGAAGUUGCCUUGGGAUUCCCGGGGAAGCCCAUCCUGUGCAGUGGAGAAGAGAAAGGUUGAAUUGUCAGUAGUCUUGCAUUCAGGCUUUCCUGAAACACUUCAACUUUUACUCCGGAUGUGGAUGCAGCCCUUGGCUACUUAUUUGAUGGAUUCUCAAGAAUAGAGACUCCUCCCCAGCCCAUCUGUAAAUUCUAAGCCUGUGAUGUAGAUUACUGGUUACAGUCAGGAAGUACGUUCUUUCUUCUUAGGGAGAGAUUCUGAGCCAGUUAAUCUAACAGGAAUAAAGAGAUUUGAGAGCAGUUUCAUCUACUGAGGGUUUCUCCCUCCUCAAACUUACGCAAAGUACUAUAUUCUCGAAUCGGAAAGUCGUUCCAGAUGAAGAAGCUCGUGGAUCACAACAUGGAUACAGUAGUGCUCGCUGGUGACUCGGAGGGACACGUAUCGAUGGAGGAACUCAGCACUGUAAUUCAUCUGGUUUAGAAAACACUGCAGGAGAGUGAAAAUCAAGCCGACAAAGAAUAUUGAGCUUUGCCAUCCACUCCUUCUUGAGUCACUUGCCUUAUUCUGUUUUCAAGCCACUGAAACUCUCCCAUGCAUAAAUAUAUGUCCACACAGGAUGGCAAUAUGGCUAUGUAAUAGAGUACAGGUAGUAUGCUAUCUGUUUAUUAAACAUUGAUUUCAGUAUGCAUAUGCAGAGACAUCGUGGGACUAUAUCUUAGUGAUGUGCAUGAGUAUGCACACACGUGCUCAGAAAAAAAGCAGAACAUAAACACUUUAAUAGUGGUUAUUUCAAGGUGAUGAAAUGCAGUGGCUCUCUUCUUAAAAGUGUCUCUAUUUUGUUCAAUAUGAACCUGUUGUAACACAGUACAGUUACUCCUCUGUGACAGGAAUUCCUGGAGAGAGCUGUGUCUGCAAAGACUGAUAUGUCAGAAGAGCAAUGAUGUGCAGAGGCAGAAGUCCCAAGCUCAGAGUUUAAUUACACUUUCUCUGGGGCUAACUUUAGCUCCCAAUAGCCAUUUCUUGCCCACCUCUGUCAGUUUUAGCAUCCUGUGACUCAAAGGUUAAAAAAACUUUUGGAAUUUCAAUAACUUAUCAGACAACCAGCAUCUGCCAACCCAAAAGCUAGGGCUGUCCUCAGAUCCCAUCGGAGACUCUAGGGAGAGAUUCCCCCAUCUUGCAGUUACUGCCCCUCUGCUGUUUUUCUGGAUGGAUCUUUUCAAUGCCUAGAUUUCCAUCCUCUUCGUUCUGCUUCUAUGAAACUGCUUCCUCGUUGGAGAAUAAAACCUGGGGCAGCCUAACUCCAUGUUCAAUCCUUGGUCACUCAUAUUUGGCUCCAGAAUAAAUUCUCUCUUAUUUCCUUUGAUUUUUUUCCGCAUUAACAGGAUCAUGACUGAACUUCAGACAGCACAGGUUUUAGCAAAAGACAGCCUGAUAUUCUCUCAGAUGGAUUCUCUAACUACUGUGCCCAACUGGUACUGGGGUGUGCCUUGUGGCUAUCUUGGGGCUGGCAUUGAACCUUUUUCAGUGAGCACAUCUUAACAUUAGUAACUGGGGUUCAAAAAAAUACAAUUUGUAAAGCCCGAUGAAGACAUUUCAAAGUUACAAGUUAUAGCCAUCAAGCGACUCCUGUAAAGCGCCUUCUCAUGUGCCUGAUUAAAGUCACCACUGUAGGAAAGGCCAGAAGUAACAGAGGUGAAGGAAGCAUAGGAC